GCCUCCCCCGGGGACAGAACCCGCCCGGGGAGAGCCGCCCCCGGGACAGACUUCCCCGGGACAGCCUUCCCGGGACAGCCUUCUCGGGGACAGUGUGCCAGGGCAGCAGUGUCCCCUCCCUCCCUCGCCCAGCUCUGCGGCCGCCGCGGUGCUGGCGGGCGGGGCGUGAGGGGAGCACCGCCGGCCCCCGCCCCUCACGCAGCGCCGGGUCCCCGCCCGCACGGCCGCGCCCGCCCCUCCCCGCCUGCCGCGGCCGCUGUUUACCGGCGCUGCUCGGGCAUAGAGGAGAAGGUUCGUUAUUCGCUCCCCGGGGGCUGCUGCCACCUCGGCAAUUACCGUCACAGCGCCCCAGGGGACAAGGCAGUGCCGGGUACCGGAGCCCCCUCCGGGGUGGCCCCGCCUGCGGGGAGUCGGGGUGGCCCCGAGGUGCUCACAGGGCACCGAGGAGGAGAGAGAGGCUCGUUACCACAGAAUCCCAGAAUCACUUAAGUCCAGCCACCAUGUCAAUUAAACCAUAGCACUCAGUGUCAGGUUCGGUCUUGCCUUAAACACCUCCUGGGAUGUUCACUCUGCCACCUCUGUGAGCAGUCCAUUCCAUUGCCUAAUCACCCUUUCUGUGAAGAAAUCCUUCCUAGUGUCCAAUGUCCUAAUGUUACAGAAGAGCACAUCCCCUUCCACAUAGAUCAGGGGCGCAGAGGGCAGAGAGGUCUCUGUUACCCCAGGGGUAGGGAGCACAUCCUCCUGCUCUGAUUCCAGCCUCAUGUACUGAAGCGCAGCACAGGCAGAGAUGGCAAAUUCAUGUGUGUGUGACUGCCCCACCCUGCCCCAAAACUCAGCAGCCUGCAAGACUGUGGUGAUUAAAGGACGUAAGAAAGCAUAACAGUGCAAGAGCAAGGACUUGAAAGGAAAAAAGAUUUCUGAUCGCUUUUGUUUUAACAUGAGGAUAAUUCAAAUAUGUUGAAGAUCCAAUGAUUCCUGUUACACAUUCAAUACUUCUGAUUCACCUAGAGGUGGCUGCUGUCAAUACAUGUCUGUUGAAACUCCAAAGAUCUUCCAAGAAAAUCAAUAAAAAUCCAAUUUUACAAUCUUGGUAUUUUCAGAGUGUUUAAAAAAUUGGCAAAAAAACGCCCUUUUUUAUACAUCACCAAAAAAAGACAGUAAGGUACAUUAUUGAUUUCUCACAAAUCGUUUUUAAGUGACUGUUAAGGCUGGAUGCCGAAUGAGAAGAUGCAGCAUUAGCACACGUUUGUCACCACACCCACGGUGUAUGGUGGGGGACUUCAAAGUGAGGAUUUAAAAAUGCAGGUGUAAUUGUGCAGAAAUCAUAUAAUUAACUUUUUUUGGUAUCACUUUCCCUCUGUAGAAAAAAGUCGUGCAAGCAUUCAAGUGUAUAUUCUAUUGGUGCUUCUACUGUGACUCCUGUCAGAGAAAAGACCAUGACAAUGGUUCUGCUACAGGCAGGCCAUCGAUGGUGGCUGUGCAAGCAGAGCAGGUACAUUCCAAA